GGGGGCGCCAAGGUUUCGACGGGAUGGUUGAAGCUUAGGUUGCGUGUCGAGGAUGUCUGGUUGGCCUCGUUAAACAUCCGGGCAAAAACAUUAAGUGCUGAUACUGAAUUAGCUCUCGCUGCUUAAAUAAAAGCAACGCGUCUCGCCGCCGACACCUGCUAGGCGGACCGAGGCGACGACAGCAGGAUAGUCAUCAUAGUGCGUCUCAGGCUAUGACGGUGAAACCAUGCUGAGACUGGCGGCUGUAAUGGCAUGUUUGUCUGCAGUUACAGUGGCGAGACUUAACGACAGAACACACACGUAGAAGCUUGAGUGACUCUAUUUCGGACGCGGGUUCGAUUCCCGCCGCCUCCAG
rnacentral:tmRNA from 1 species